GAUGAACGCUGGCGGCGUGCCUAAUACAUGCAAGUCGAGCGAAGCGAGGACGGGGAGGUAACACUGGAAUACCCUCCUAUAAGACGGGGAUAACUCCGGGAAACCGGAGCUAAACCGGAUACUAAUGAUGGGAUCAUCGCUGCAUGAGCUGUUGGGAAAGGUAACGGCUUACGAAGGCAACGAGGCAUAGCCGACCUGAGAGGGUGAUCGGCCACACUGGAACUGAGACACGGUCCAGACUCCUACGGUAGGCAGCAUUAGGGAAUCUUCCGCAAUGGGCGAAAGCCUGACGGAGCAACGCCGCGUGAGUGAUGAAGGUCUUCGGAUCGUAAAACUCUGUUAUUAGGGAAGCGGUACCUAAUCAGAAAGCCACGGCUAACUACGUGCCAGCAGCCGCGGUAAUAC
rnacentral:rRNA from 1 species